UUGGAGGGCAAGUCUGGUGCCAGCAGCCGCGGUAAUUCCAGCUCCAAUAGCGUAUAUUAAAGUUGUUGCAGUUAAAAAGCUCGUAGUUGAACUUCGGGGUCUACCCAUUGGUCAGGCUUAAUUGUCUGCACUGGUGAGAUGGAUCUCUACCUUCUGAGGAACUUUCAUGCCAUUUAUUUGGUGUGAUUGGAAAUCAGGACUGUUACUUUGAAAAAAUUAGAGUGUUUAAAGCAGACUAUCGUCUGAAUACAUUAGCAUGGAAUAAUGAAAUAGGACGGACUGAUUCUAUUUCGUUGGUUUCUAGGAUCACCGUAAUGAUUAAUAGGGAUAGUUGGGGGCAUUAGUAUUCAAUUGUCAGAGGUGAAAUUCUUGGAUUUAUUGAAGACUAACUACUGCGAAAGCAUUUGCCAAGGAUGUUUUCAUUAAUCAAGAACGAAAGUUAGGGGAUCGAAGACGAUCAGAUACCGUCGUAGUCUUAACCAUAAACUAUGCCGACUAGGGAUCGGACGAAGUUAAUUUUAUAAUGACGCGUUCGGCACCUUACGGGAAACCAAAGUGUUUGGGUUC
rnacentral:rRNA from 2 species